GAUGAACGCUGGCGGCGUGCCUAAUACAUGCAAGUAGAACGCAGUUGCGAACGCGUGAGUAACGCGUAGGUAACUGCCUCCUCGCGGGGGAGAAAUAUUGGUAACGAUAGCUAAUACCGCCUACUGUGAGAUGGAUCUGCGUUGUAUUUGCUAGUUGGUGAGGUAAACGCACACCAAGGCGAAGAUACAUAGCCGACCUGGGAGGGUGAUGGAGCACCCUGGGACUGAGACACGGCCCAGACCCCUACGGGAGGCAGCAGUAGGGAAUAGUCGGCAAUGGACGGGAGUCUGAGCGAGCAACGGCGAAUGAGUGAAGAGGGUUGUCGGAUCGUAGAGCUCUGUUGUUAGAGAAGCGGUAACUAACCAGAAAGGGUCGGCUAACUACGUGCCAGCAGCCGCGGUAAUAC
rnacentral:rRNA from 1 species